UGGGCUGAUAGAAGAGUUGACAAGAUUGGUUUUGAUAAUCAAACAAAAUGCAGUGUCUGAAUGAAAAUCUACCCAUAAUAAUUGGCUUCACAAAUAAAACAAUAGCAGACCAUCUCUAUUAAAAGUCAACCAGCUGAGGACAAAAACAUACGCCCAUCACCCUUUCGCACCACAUUAGCGACGCCCCCUGGUAUUGGUGUGAAAUUAUUUGAGACAGAAGACAUGACACUUCACGCAUACCGACAGGUGGCAGUAACUGUCUUGUUACACGCUAAAAACGAAGAAGAAGAACAACAACAAACUGUUGAUAACGGACACUCUUAAAAGAACACCUCACUUUUUUUCGAGCCACCGGUGUUAAUUAUUUGAGAGAAUGCUUACUCUUGUGUGUUUGUUGUCAUUCUGGCCAGUCGUUAACGCAGGUUCUCACUCACUGAUGGCUUUGGCAACAUAUAUAGUUGGAAAAACACAAUUUCCUGAGUUCAGUGUUGUGGUGAUGUUGGAUGAUGUGCAAAUAGGACAUUAUGACUCAACCACAUGGAAACCUGUCUAUCGAUCUCACAGUGAUUCAAAAUAUUAUGAAGAGGAGCAAAGUGAUGCUGGUGUUGUAUUGCGUGAUAUGUAUUAUGACAUGAAAGAUCGAGCCUUUUAUCUUAAGGAGCACCAAAAUCACACAGAUGGUGUACAUGUUCAUCAGAGACUUGUUGGAUGUGAACUGUUGGCCAGCGAUAAACCAGGUCAGCUUCAUUACUGGGAUGCUUUUGGUGGACAAAAUAUGGAGGAGUUUAUAUUUGAUGUAGGAAAACACGCUAUCCAGAUAAAGAUGCCGUGGGUGAUAACAUGGGACCAAUUAAAACGGGUUCAUGAAAACUUUAUGUAUGAAAAUGUUUAUCAUCCUAUUUGCAUUAAAACUUUGAGAAGGUACCUGAAUAUGGAGAAGAACAACGUGCUGAGAAAAGUGAAACCCAGAGUCAGACUCAUGAGGAAGACGCUCUCAGACUCUCAAGGGCUUCAGAUCAGCUGUCUGGCCACUGGUUUUUACCCCCGUCACAUUAACCUGACCCUGUUCAGAGACGGUCAGCCUGUGGAUGAUGAUCAGAUCACAGGAGGACAGAUUCUGCCCAACGGAGACGGAACGUACCAGAUGAGGAAGAGUUUGGUGAUCAGUGAAGAAGAGCUACGCCAGGAACAUAAAUACAACUGCACAAUGAAGCACCUCAGUCGGGACAACAAACUGCACAUUAUCUUUGAUGUGGCUGAAUCUGUUCCAGGAUCAUCUAUGCAGUCUGUAGUUUUCAUUGUGCUGGUGUUAGUGUUUGUGGUAGUUCUCAUCAUAACUGCACUCAUUAUAUGGAGUAAGGUUCAGUUUCAUUACAUCCGGACCCCAAUGCGGGAUUCAACUUGAAAGAAAUGAGCCUGUAUGAACUGAAAUUGAUGAGGUAAUAUGCACACAGUAUUUAGUCUCACUUGUUUCCUGUGGAUGUCGGAGUCUCUGAUGAGACACUGGAAAGUUGCACCAAGGAGACCGCUCAUCAAGCUGAAAUAAGAAAUAAGGCUGAUUGAACCACAAUUAUGAAAACAAACUGAUACGCUUGGAAAUUGCUGGCACUAUACUCUGAUUAGUAGAGCUACAUAAAUAAAUUUGUAAUUGAGCCACUGCAUUGUAUUUGUAUCAGAAACAUCUUCUGUUAUGUGGGCAUUGAAAGACAUUCAUUUGACAUGGGGGUUGGUGCACUAUGAACACCUGGCACUUCUACUGUAAUGUGACACCCCUUAUUGCUCAAUAAAAAAAACUCAAGUUG